rnacentral:rRNA from 1 species
UACGGAGGGUGCAAGCGUUAUCCGGAUUCACUGGGUUUAAAGGGUGCGUAGGCGGGCAGGUAAGUCCGUGGUGAAAUCUCUGAGCUUAACUCAGUAACUGCCAUGGAUACUAUUUGUCUUGAAUAUUGUGGAGGUAAGCGGAAUAUGUCAUGUAGCGGUGAAAUGCUUAGAUAUGACAUAGAACACCAAUUGCGAAGGCAGCUUACUACACAGUUAUUGACGCUGAGGCACGAAAGCGUGGGGAUCAAACAGG